rnacentral:rRNA from 1 species
GACGAACGCUGGCGGCGUGCCUAAUACAUGCAAGUCGAACGCAGUGGGGACGGGUGAGUAACACGUGGGUAACCUCCCAUCAGAGGGGAUAACACUUGGAAACAGGUGCUAAACCGAUACUGAUGGAUGGACCCGCGGUGCAUUACCUAGUGGGUGAGGUAACGGCUCACCAAGGCCAGGAUGCAUAGCCGACCUGAGAGGGGAAUCGGCCACACUGAGACUGAAACACGGCCCAGACUCCUACGGGAGGGAACAGUAGAGAAUCUUAGGCGAUGGACGAAAGUCUGACCGAGCAACGCCGCGUAAGUGAAGAAGGUUUUCGGAUCGUAAGACUCUGUUGUUAGAGGAGCGGUAUCUAACCAGAAAGCCACGGCUAACUACGUGCCAGCAGCCGCGGUAAUAC